UACGUAGGUGGCAAGCGUUGUCCGGAUUUACUGGGCGUAAAGGGCGUGCAGGCGGUUUGUUAAGUGCAGGGUGAAAGCUCCCGGCUCAACUGGGAGAGGUCCUUGCAUACUGGCAAACUCGAGGGAGGCAGAGGAAAGUGGAAUUCCCGGUGUAGUGGUGAUAUGCGUAGAUAUCGGGGAGGAACACCUGUGGCGAAGGCGGCUUUCUGGGGCCUUACCUGACGCUGAGACGCGAAAGCGUGGGGGAGCGAACCGG
rnacentral:rRNA from 1 species